GAUGGCUCCUUCUGCUACCAAACACAAGGACCGCUCUGAUGAGAAGUCCAAGGAUAGAUCUAAAGAUAAAGGGGCCACUAAAGAGUCAAGUGAGAAGGAUCGUGGCAGAGAUACGACUCGGAAGACGCACAGUGCUUCAAGCGGAAGCAGCAGCACCAUGUCUGGGUCCAGCUCAACCUCCAGCUCGGGCUCCAGCACCAGCACAGGCUCAAGCAGUGGCUCCAGCUUGUCCUCUGCAUCCAGCCGCUCGAAAAGCUCCAGUACAUCCCGGAGCUCCAGUUCUAGCAGCUCUUCCAGCUCCCCCAGCCCUUCUCGGCUCAGGCAUGACAACAGGCAGCAGUCCCGCUCCAAAUCCAAGCCACCUAAAAGAGAUGAAAAAGAGAGGAAAAAGUGGAGUCCUUCACCUGAACCCACCAAAGUGCACAUUGGGAGGCUCACUAGAAAUGUGACCAAGGAUCAUAUCAUGGAAGUGUUUUCUACUUACGGGAAAAUUAAAAUGAUUGACAUGCCUGUAGAAAGGAUGCAUCCUCAUCUAUCCAAAGGCUAUGCAUAUGUGGAAUUUGAGAAUCCAGAUGAAGCAGAGAAGGCACAGAAACACAUAGAUGGAGGACAAAUUGAUGGCCAAGAGAUCACUGCUACUGCUGUGUUGGCACCAUAGCCUCGGCGAUUCAGCCCACCCAGGAGAAUGCUUCUGCCACCUCCUAUGUGGUGUAGGUCACCCCCACGGAUGAGGAGAAGGUAUUGAUCCCCAAGUUGCAGGUCCCCUGUGCGAAGGAUCUGUGUGUCUCGAUCACCUGGCCGCUGCCGCCACACGAGCUGAUCCAGCUCCAACUCCUCCCAAUAA